AACAGUUAAGCUGCAGAUGCCAACCAAGAUGACCAGAGAUCCAACCAAGAUGACCAGAGAUCCAGGAAGAAUACCUUUGAAAGGACAGCUGUAGAAGAAAGUGCAACCCAGCACACAACCGAAUUCCCACACCCCUCUUUGUUGAGUAUGCCUGCGUGUGAUGUCGACCUACAGACUAGAGAGCCACAGCUGAAGACAGAAACCCAGCAGAACACAAAGAAACAUGAAGCGGACCACUGCCCUGAAGCCAAACUUCCCUCUUCAAAAUGAGCCUUUGCC